GCCAGUGUAGCCUAGUGGUUUGAGUGUUGGACCACAACUCUAGAGACCAGGGUUUGAUUCCCAGCUCAACUA